CAGCCACAUCAUAUUGAAACACCGGUUCCUGUACAGUCACUGAAGUUAAGCAAUGUUGAGCAUGGCCAGUACCGAGAUGGGUGACUGCCUGGAAAUACCAGGUGCUGCAAG